rnacentral:rRNA from 1 species
CCAUUCGUGAUGGGGAUCGGGGAUUGCAAUUAUUCCCCAUGAACGAGGAAUUCCCAGUAAGUGCGGGUCAUAAGCUUGCGUUGAUUAAGUCCCUGCCCUUUGUACACACCGCCCGUCGCUACUACCGAUUGGAUGGUUUAGUGAGGCCCUCGGAUCGGCCCCGCCGGGGUCGGCCCACGGCCCUGGCGGAGCGCUGAGAAGACGGUCGAACUUGACUAUCUAGAGGAAGUAAAAGUCGUAACAAGGUAACC